UGAUGGUAAAAAGCAAAUAGCUAAAGGAUUGUUGCCGAGAGAGAGAGAGAGCAGGAGAAGCGAGUCGCAAUAGGAGCUUGAUAGCGUUGAAUUCUGGAGGGUUGGCUCAUCGAUUCUGGUUCUUGUGCCUCAAAAUCUCCAGUGAUGGCUGUCGUCUUCGUCGCAAUCAUCUCUCUCUUCUAUGGGAUUAGAAGAGAUCUCUUUUGCUCGAAGCAAGUUUUGGGUCUGGGUAGAAGUUGUGUAGGAAGGAAGGUGUUGCUGUCCCUGUCGGAGUUUGCAUAUCAAGCCGCGGCGGUCGGCGGUGUUUGUGUUUGAGCGGCCUGCGGCAUCUGGUUUUAGUGUCGGGAGUGAUUAGGAUUCUGAUUUUGGUUGGAGCGGGUUUGGGCCUUUGAUUGGGCCGGGUCUAGUGAUGGAAUUGAAUUCACUAUUAAGGCUAUGUUUGGGGGGGCUUUUUUGCUCCCCUGCUUAUAAGCACAAGAGCCAUAUCUGUUUGGUGAGCCGGCUUAUUCUCGACCAUGGAAAAAAGCUGCCCCAGCUUCUGUCUAAAAGCAGAAGCCGACUCCCCCCAGCUUUUAGAAGCCAGAAGCUCGGCACACUGUAGCGAUAAUUACUGUUCAUUAAUGAAAUUUUCAAAAUCCCGGUUUCUACCCUCCGUUGACUGAACAAAUAACAGUCAUCUGCCAUCAAACCCUCGAUCAGUCUCUCGCUCUCACUCGCUCUGCCUCUAAUCACAAACGCAUCCUCGCUCUCGCUCUCGAUCUCGAUCUCCCUCUCACAGAACCCAUCCAGGCGCCACCUCAUCCAGUCAAUCUCCCUCUCACAGAACCCUCGAUCAGUCUCUCGCAUCCAGUCGCCACCGCAUCCAGUCGAUCUCCGUCUCACAGAACCGUCGAUUAGUCUCUCGCAUCCAGUCGCCACCGCAUCCAGUCAAUCUCCGUCUCACAGAACCCUCGAUUAGUCUCUCGCAUCCAGUCUCUCGCUCUUGCUGUCGAUCUCGGCCUCACUUGCAUAAACUCAGGAUUUCAGAAGUGAAAUUGAAGCAUCAAUCAAGCAGGUUUGUUUAGAGUUGAAUGUCUACGGAUUGAGAGGAGACACCAUGCCUAGCAGGGCUGCAAAAGCUUUGGCUGCUCUGAAAUGGAAGUGAUAAGUUGACUCCAGAAGAUUUGCUACUGUCAUCCCUAACUGCUUAGGCCAUCGCGUCUUCUUAAGGAUCCUUUUGAAAUGAUUUUAAGCAUACAUCAAUGGGAUUGAUACAUUAAAUUCAUGUGACUUAAUAGCGUAACCUUAUCACUCAUGGUACCAGCUCUUAAAGUUGUAUCUGUCAUUAUAGUCUUUAACAGUCUUCAUUCAUGAGCCAAGUUUGUACUGAUGUUCCAUCCUCUGAUGUAAAGACCUGAAGUGCAUUAUCCAGUUGCUUGUUUUGUGGGCUCAUAUACACUUUAAGGAGCAAGAACUGACAGAUUUAUAUAAUCUUUGACAGGUUAGGUUUAAUGGUUGUGGGAGGCCUAAUCUUGGCAUCUUUCAUGACAUAUGCGUCGAAGCACCUUGCAAGUAAAUCAUUCUUGAGAGUUCUUGAAGACCGAGAUGCUACUAGAAGUAGGAGGUUUUGUUAGAUAUAGUUCACUGGUGACAAAACUGAGCAUGUAAAACUAUUGACCAAAAGACCAAGUAUGUCCUGUAAGCAGUGUUUGAUGCUUUUGCUGUAA